UUUAUUAAAAGACUUGCCGGUUAUUUUUUUAUGUUUUAAUUUUAAACAUGUAAAUUAACAUUUUUGAUAAUACAGUGAAAUAUUUCUGUUUUGCAUUAAAAACAAUAAGAAAUUUGUUUAAAAAUAGGUAUAAAAUGGAGGCAAAUCAGAAAUUUCGAAGCAAUAUUAAGUCAUUGAAUAAUAAAAUAUAAUACAAAGCUCACGUUUGAUAAGGAAUCUAAAUUUAACGUCAGUGACUUGAUGUUAUUUUAUCAAUCAGUUUAGAAUGGGAAGCAAGAACCAAUAAACUUUAUUGAACUUACAAUUUAUAUAGUGUUAUCAAGUUGUGGAAAUUAAAUAAUAUCUGAAGAUAAAAAAAUUAAAAAUGGCAAAUAUUUUAAGUGGACCGCCUCUUUUUAACAAAUGGAAAUACAAUUCUAUUGCGGAAUUUCUUUAUGAAAAAAUGACACUACAUGCAUCAUCAACAGCUUUGAUAAGUAUGGAAAGCAAAGAUGAAUUAUCGUACAAGCAACUUCUCGAAAAAUGUUUGAAAUUAUCAAUAGCUCUUGGAAAAAUGGGAUUGAAAUUGAACGAUAAAAUUGGACUUUGCAGUGAGAAUAAUUUAAAUUUUUGCAUUGGAAUUGUCUCAACUAUAUUUCUAGGCGCAACUAUUUGCCCACUAAAUCCAUCGUACACUGAGACGGAAUUUAUUCAUGUACUAAAAAUUUCACAGCCAAAAUACAUUUUUGUCUCGGCAUUGGUUGUGGAGAAAAUGAUGAGAGCAGUGAAAAAUUUACCAUGGUCGCCAAAAUUAAUUUUAAUCAAUGAAAGUGAGACUCAUCGGGAAAUUCCACGCAUGUCGAAUUUAAUAUCUCGCAUUAAAGACGUUGAUGUGAAAAAUUUUCGUUUUUCGACAAUUGAUAAAAAUGAACAUAUUUUGUUGAUUGCGUGUUCAAGUGGCACGACGGGUCUUCCGAAAGGUGUUAUGUUGACUGAUAAUAAUUUUUUAAUUCAAGUACAAUAUUAUUCAGAGGAGAAAUUUCCAUUCUUCCAAAAUGCCGACAGUUUCUUGGGUCUUUUGCCAAUGUUUCAUGGUUAUGGAUUUUUUAUUUUUCUCGUGAGUCUCACUUUUGGUAAUAAAAUGAUUGUCAUGUCGCGAUUCGACGAACGACUAUUUCUUCAAGCCAUACAGGAUUAUCAGAUAAAAACUUUGCCACUAGUCCCGCCGCUGUUGGUGUUUUUGGCGAAAAAUCCAAUUGUCGAUGAGUAUGAUUUGUCCUGCGUCAAACAAAUAUCAUGUGGAGCGGCUCCAGUAUCUGAAAAUAUUAAAGAAGCAGUACAAAAGAAGUUUAAACUUCCCUUUAUUAGAAAUGGAUACGGAUUAACGGAAACUACAGUUUCAUUAAUGAAUUCAAUAAAUGAAUUGAAACCCGAAAGUAUCGGAAUUUUACGACCUGGUUUAAAAGCCAAAGUUAUUUCACUGGAGGGAAAUUCGAAUGAGGGUUUAGGGUCAAAUAAAGAGGGUGAAUUGUGCUUCAAAGGAGAAAUUAUUAUGAAAGGAUAUUAUAACGAUGAAGAAGCGACAAGAAAUGCAAUCGACGAAGACGGCUUUCUUCACACUGGCGAUGUUGGAUAUUAUGAUGAGGAGGGUUGUUUUUACAUUGUCGACAGAGUAAAAGAACUGAUUAAAUAUAAAGGAUUUCAAGUUCCUCCUGCAGAGCUGGAAUCAAUUUUAUUGACACAUCCAGCAAUUAAAGACGCUGCUGUUGUUGGAUAUCCUGAUGAACUCGCUGGAGAAUUGCCCCUUGCUUUUGUUGUCAAACAAUCUGGUGUUAAUAUUUCUUCGAGGGAAAUCAUUCAAUACGUUAACGAAAAAGCAUCAGGUUCCACUACUGUAAUGUUAUUUUGUUUCUAUGACUGAUUGGAUUGUUCUGAAUAAUUUGUCUCAUUAUCCUGGAUUCGAUUUUGCUUCGUGAUAGAAAAUCACUAAGUGUCGAUUCUUGUAAGAUGUUCCAGUUAUUGACUGGUAUAAAUAAGAAGAAGGUACCGACUCUCUUGUCAUGAUGGUGAGAGAAGAUGAAAGGAACUCAGCAAAUUUCUAUAUUUGAUUGGGAGACGUUUAAGGAUCACAUUUGAGAUAGAGUCAAGACCGGGUGCAGUAUAUUUUUUGGUGUUCUGUUCCAUUACAGGAGUUACUAGAUCACACUGUAGAACGCUUAAUUUUAUCGAUAGAACCGAUUAUUUAAUCUCUUAAAAAAGAAGAACUAAAUCAGCUCAGUUUGUUGUCAAAAUGGGACUUUGAUGGUUCUUCAGAUCAUAGUUCUUAUAAACAAGCAUUUUGUGAUUCAAAUGACACUGAUUCAUCAGUAUUUCUUACUUGUCUAGUUCCAUUACGCCUAGUCUCAAAUAAAAGAAGUGUAUAGCAGAACCCACGCGCCCAUCAUGCAUAAGGUAUUAUACACCAUUAAAAAUCGAAUUUAUGAAACAGUCUACUGAUGCAUCCGUUCAGGAGAAAAAUAGAAUAGAUAAAGAAACUAAAAAUUUCAAACCAAGCAGUGUUGUAAAUGUAAAGAAACAAAUAGUUGUAAAUCACGAACUAAUUUUUUGUAUGGUAAAUGGCAAAGUGUGCAAUGCUGUUGCAGAAACAACUUCAACGCAAAAAUGCUUUAUUUGUGGUGCAACAUCAAAAGAAUUUAAUAAUAUUGACAAAGUGAUAAAAAGAAAAAUAAAUACAGAGAAUUUGCAAUUUGGUUUAUCAAUAUUACAUGGAUGGAUUCGCUUGUUUAAAUGUCUUUUACAUGUAGGGUAUAAAUUACCCAUUAGAAAAUGGCAAGCUCAAGCCGGGAUUCAGAAAUACCAAUGAUGGAAAUACUGCGUGACGCUUAAUUCAAAACGCACAAGUUUCUGCUAAAGUUACAAAUGUAGAUGUGGGCCUAAAUAAAAAGUUUUACACUAUUGCGAUGACAGUAUCUUCUGGAUAUAAAAUCCAUACUUCAAAGUUUCGAGAAUUUACACUUAACACGGCUAAAUACUUAAUUGAAAAAUAUCCAUGGUAUUAUAUGCCACCUACCGUACACAAAUAUCUCAUACAUAGACUAGAAAUUAUAUCUCCAGCUUUGUGGACGAUAGGACAAUUAACAGAAAAGAGGCACAAGAAGCUCACAAUAAAGAUUUUAAGAAAUAUAGAGAAUAUAAUGCAAGAAAAUUAAGGAAAAAAUGUCGAUGUUUUUAAUUUUUGUUAUCAAGCUCUGAUCCGCUGAUAACUAGUAAGAGAAAGUUACAGAAAAAAACAGCAAAAACUUCCA